rnacentral:lncRNA from 1 species
GUCGUUCAUCGCCCGGUAGAAUUCAUCACUCCUCCUCGUAACAUCCGUCUCGUUAUGUACGUCGGAUGACUCGCCUUGAAUGGGAUGUUGUUGUCGCAUGUUCCUCAACAUGGACUCCCAUUCCGGAUUUGUGGCCGCAAUAACGUCCAAGAAGCCCUCGACUCCACCCAUACGAGAUUUUGUCGCGGUCAACUCGUUACGCAGCUGAGCGGUCUCUCUACGCAGCUCAGUGACUUCAUCAUCC